GACGAACGCUGGCGGCGUGCUUAACACAUGCAAGUCGAACGGAAAGGCCCUGCUUUUGUGGGGUGCUCGAGUGGCGAACGGGUGAGUAACACGUGAGUAACCUGCCCUUGACUUUGGGAUAACUUCAGGAAACUGGGGCUAAUACCGGAUAGGAGCUCCUGCUGCAUGGUGGGGGUUGGAAAGUUUCGGCGGUUGGGGAUGGACUCGCGGCUUAUCAGCUUGUUGGUGGGGUAGUGGCUUACCAAGGCUUUGACGGGUAGCCGGCCUGAGAGGGUGACCGGGGACAUGGGGCCGAAGAGAGGCCGCAGACGGGAAGGGGGGACAACGGGGGAAAGUAUGACACAGGGGGGGGGCGCGUGUGAAGGAGGGGCUGGGGGGGGAAAGACGUUUGAGGGGGGAGAAACGGCUGUAGGUUGAGACGAGGCGGGGGUGACGGUAGGGGGAAAAGAAGCACGGGCUAACUACGUG
rnacentral:rRNA from 1 species